GCCACUUUAACAGUAUUCAUGUCUAUUACAUCUCCAUACUUGUAAACACACAAUGGAAGGAGAGCCAUGAGAUUGUACUUCUAAGUGCUUCAUUGAUUACGUAGCUUUGCCAGUCGCAGAAACAAAACAGCAGCGAGAGUAUCAGACCUGUUUGCCCUCCGAUGAACGUGACAUAACACCUAGUCUAUAACGUGUCCUUCUUUUUUACCUCAAACAAAUACCGUCAGUCUUGGUUUUUGUAGCCACUUAUCAGUGUUUUCAGACUGAAGGUUGAUUUAUAAAAUGCACUGUUGGUAUGGCAACUGUUCUUUAGACAGAGCUACAUUUUUAAGGAGAGGCAGCAGCCUUGAUGAAUGAAUGUACCAUCUGUAUGAUUUCAUUCCACGGGAAGAAUGCAAAGGCGCCCAGGUCUCGUCCCAAAAUGCUGCGAGGGGAGCUUAAUCCUGAACCUGAGGGAGCUGACAGGAGACUUUGGCUGUUAAAUAAAACAAAAUGAUGACCUCAGUCCUCGCCGUCUUCAAUUAAACAAGUAGGAUCGCCUACAAAGCAGAAAGCAGAACAAGUAUGCAAAUAGUUUGGUGUUGUUCCUUUUUCUACGGAAGCCCUGAGGGACAGGUGAGAUGGGUUGUGUUUUUUUUCUGUCUGAUCUAAAUCAUUUUCUCUCCUGUGUGGAAAAAAAUGUUUUGCCAGGAUAUUGUUUAUUUUCUGCCGUGUGGAACUGAUUGGAAUAAAGUCUUUUAUUUUAUGAGGAAAACAUUUUUUUGUGUUUGUUUUUGUAAAACUCAUUUAGACCACAAGAGGCUGAAGUGCACGCCCACCUCAUGUCCGUGUUGCAGGCUCCCUUCUGAUGGACCACGGGCCCCUGGGACCAUCCACCAUUUCCGGGCUCCUGCUGCCUUGAAAUACUGGCUGAUCUGGAUCGUCACACCCCGGGCUCUCCUGGAUCAUUGCUCUCCUCUGCUUCACUAUCUCCUCAUAUCUUUAUUUCUGUAAAUCUUGAUGCCUCUCUCUGUCUAUUACUAAUUAUCUUGUGUGUCCUGCCCUCUUCCAGGUCAACAUGGUGGACAGGAGGUCGUCUGGCUCGGGCUCCACUUGGUGAUGCCUCGUCCUGCUCGGUCGUCUCCUGGUUCCACUAACAUUGCAUAACUUGUAUCAGAUCUUCUGUCGAUGUACCUGUAAACUGUGAAUUGUUGCUCUUUUCUGUACACACAACAUCUAUUGCAUGUCUGUCCGUCCUGGAAGAGGGAUCCCUCCUCUGUGGCUCUUCCUGAGGUUUCUUCCAUUGUUUUUUUUUUACCCUGUUAAAAGGUUUUUUUUUCCAUCAACAUGUGAAGUUUUUCCUCACUCGAAUCGAGGGUCUAAGGACAGAGGAUGUUGUUCACUGUACAGAUUGUAAAGCCCACUGAGGCAAUGUGAUUGUGAUUUUGGGCUAUAUAAAUAAAAUUGAUAUGAUUUGAUUUGAAACAGUCUGUACGUUUGCUUUCAACCUUCUAAAAAAAAUCUAGCUGUUGCAAAGUUUAAUAACAGUUUA
rnacentral:lncRNA from 1 species